rnacentral:rRNA from 1 species
GUGGAUUAGAUACCCUGGUAGUCCACGCCGUAAACGAUGAUCACUCGCUGUUGGCGAUACACAGUCAGCGGCUAAGCAAAAGCAUUAAGUGAUCCACCUGGGGAGUACGGCCGCAAGGCUGAAACUCAAAGGAAUUGACGGGGGCCCGCACAAGCGGAGGAACAUGUGGUUUAAUUCGAUGAUACGCGAGGAACCUUACCUGGGCUUAAAUGUAGAGUGCAUGGGGUAGAAAUAUCCCUUCCCUUCGGGGCUCUUUGCAAGGUGCUGCAUGGCUGUCGACAGCU